rnacentral:rRNA from 1 species
UACGUAGGGGGCAAGCGUUGUCCGGAUUUAUUGGGCGUAAAGGGCGUGUAGGCGGCCUGACAGGUCUGCUGUGAAAACUCGAGGCUCAACCUCGAGAUGUCGGCGGAAACCGUCUGGCUAGAGUCCGGAAGAGGAGAGUGGAAUUCCUGGUGUAGCGGUGAAAUGCGCAGAUAUCAGGAAGAACACCUAUGGCGAAGGCAGCUCUCUGGGACGGUACUGACGCUGAGACGCGAAAGCGUGGGGAGCGAACAGG